UGUGUACUCUCUCCAUUCCAAAAUACUUGACUUCCAUUUGUCCAAAAAUGGAUGUACCUAUAUACUAAAACAUGUCUAGAUACGUCUAUAUUUUGACAAAUAGAAGGCAUGUAUUGUGGAAUGGAGGGAGUAGAAU
rnacentral:pre_miRNA from 1 species